GACGAACGCUGGCGGCGUGGAUUAGGCAUGCAAGUCGAACGGUAUCAUCCUUUCGGGGGUGAGAGAGUGGCGAACUGGUGAGUAACACGUAGGUUAUCUACCCUCAAGACGGGGACAACCCAGGGAAACUUGGGCUAAUACCGGAUGUGAGCAACUUUUUAGUUGUUUGAAAGGUGGCGUAAGCUGUCGCUUGGGGAUGAGCCUGCGUCCUAUUAGUUAGUUGGUGAGGUAACGGCUCACCUAGGCAAUGAUAGGUAGGCGGCCUUAACGGGUGGUCGCCCACACUGGGAUUGAGAUACGGCCCAGACUCCUACGGGAGGCAGCAGUCGAGAAUAGUCUACAAAUGGGCCGAAAAGGCUGAUAGUGCGAACGCCGCGUGAACGAAGAAGCCCUUCGGGGUGUAAAGUUCUUUUAUAUGUGAGCAGUGCUUUCUAUGUGAACAGCAAUGGGGAAGAGAUAUUAGCAUAUGAAUAAGCAAACGGCUAAACUCCGUGCCAGCAGCCGAC
rnacentral:rRNA from 1 species